rnacentral:rRNA from 1 species
UACGUAGGGCGCAAGCGUUGUCCGGAAUUUAUUGGGCGUAAAGAGCUCGUAGGCGGCUUGUCACGUCGGAUGUGAAAGCCCGGGGCUUAACCCCCGGGUCUGCAUUCGAUACGGGCUAGCUAGAGUGUGGUAGGGGGAGAUGAAUUCCUGGUGUAGCGGUGAAAAUGCGCAGAUAUCAGGAGGAACACCGGUGGCGAAGGCGGAUCUCUGGGCCAUUACUGACGUGAGGAGCGAAAAGCGUGGGGGAGCGAACAGG